rnacentral:misc_RNA from 1 species
UCCUGGUUUCCCAGGCAGUCCCAUCAGAGUGCUCCGAUUAAAGUAGCAACUGACAGCAGGGGUUGCGCUCGUUAGAGGACUUAACCCAACAUCUCACGACACGAGCUGACGACAGCCAUGCAGCACCUGUGCAUCUGUCUAGACCGAAGCCUAAAAAUUCAUGUUUCCAUGAUUGUCAAAUACAUGUCAAGCCCAGGUAAGGUUCCUCGCGUAGUGACGAAUUAAACCACAUGUUCCACCGCUUGUGCGGACCCCCGUCAAUUCAUUUGAGUUUUAAUCUUGCGACCGUACUCCCCAGGCGAAUCACUUAACGCGUUAGCUUCGAUACUAAUUCGGCUAGGCCAAACUAACAUCUAGUGAUUAUCGUUUACAGCGUGGACUAC